CUUGGGAAGAGAAGAAAUGCAUCAUGAAUUCUUUUGUAAACAGAGGACAAAGGGGUGUGGGAGGAGGAUGUGAGCAGGUACCUCCCAGGAAACUGAGCACAGAGGACGCAGCAGCUGGUCCCUCACCCCUGCUCUCGCCGUAUCACCCUGUCUCCCACCCCACACAAAGGGUGAACAGCUCGCAAGUUUCCCGGAGAGGAUGGUUACAUGACCUCGACCUAGCCAAUCAGCAUGUUUCAUCCUCCCUGGCCACCGUGAUUGGCUCAGGGGUGGGCUAGUGACCAAUCAGGGCCCAGGGUGGGGCCUUGUGCUGGAAUCCUGGGGAAGAGAAGCUGUGUUUCGCUUGCCCAGCCCGCGGUAGCUGCAGGGGACGCGAAGUCAGUCCGGGGCAGUUGGAGGGGACUUGACCUCAGCCUGUGGCAGUUGGUGGCCGUCUUGCUCCCAUCAAGGUAGAGCCGCCUGCGUGAGGAUGACACCAGUAAGCAGAGCCCAGAGGCGGGGAGAGACCGUUUCUGCUGACGUCCGUGAGCUCCAGGUGCAGCCCUGCCGUAAGCCGUCCACCUGUGGACUUAAUUACGCUGUCUGCUGCAUGAGAAUGGAGACCAGGUGUCUGGAGCCUGCCCAGCACACAGUAAGGCCUCAGUGAACGUGCACUGGGUGUGUGGACGCUGAGGCCACGGACGAGAACGUUGCAGGCAGUGAUGAAGCUGCGAUGAAGGCUCCUGUCCGCCUGUCUGUCCGUCCACGGCUCUGGGCUCCUCCGCCUCCUGCCCUCCCCACGCUCCCUGCGUGGUGCGUCCUCCCCCUCCUCCAGGACUGUGAGUAGAAACUCUCUUUUCAGUGGCAGGUGUCUCCUGACCUGCUGGCCUUACUGAACCUCAAAUUUUCUACUAAAGAUUCUAUUUUAAACCAGCCUACAAGACACUUUGCAGACAGAGUAAACAAAUGAAGGAUAAGUGAACUGUACACCUUUUUACAACAUCGUCAAGUUUAAUAAUUUUUAGAACUCAUUUUCCCAUAAAAUCACAGGCUCCAUCAGGGUGGAGAGUGUAUAAAAAUCACGUGGACAGGACCAGACACCUGUGAGGUCCUAACUAUCCAUCUCCCCAGACUGAGGGCUCAGGCCCAGGCUUGACCAAGGCCCAGUCUCUGCCUUUGCACCGUGAGUGGAAUUGGGUUUGUUUUCAAAUUAAGCUUUUACGCUUGUCAGCUUAGCAGGGAAAUUGUCGGUUCUAAACUCAUCUUUCCAGCAAUAAUCAAGUCACAUGGGGUGGGAGAAAUGGGGAGAGGUUGGUCAAAGGGUAAAAGUUACAGCUCUGCCCGCCGAGUGAGUCUAGAGAUGCAGUGCACGGCAGGAUGAGUGCAGUUAACGACACCGCAUCGUGUCGGGGAGACUCGCCAGGGGAGCAGACUUGAGGUGCUCAGACCGCAACCAAAAAGUGAUGGUUGACUGAGCAGAUGGACAUGUUAGUUAGCUCGCCUGGAGCUCCACUGUGUACACAGACACCAAAACAUCAUGUUGUACACCUGAAAUUCAUACAAUUUUUAUCAAAAAUGAGCUUUGUGACGUGAGUGGCCAGCAGCUGUACCCGGAUGCUGUGACUUCAACAAUGGCAGAAAUGACACUCCUGCCAGGAUCAGGCCCUGCAAAGGGACAGGCGGCGUUUGCUUCCUCGCUCUUGGAAACCAGCCCCCAGGCUGUGAAGAAGCCCGGCAGCCACAUGGAGGAGGACGAGGCCAGCGGCAGCCACAUGGAGGAGGACGAGGCCAGCCACCAGCCCAGCUGAGCCCCGGGUGGCAGCCACUGUGAGGGAGGCCUCAGCUGAGGUCACACGCGGCAGAGAUGAGCCCAAAGCGUGAAGUCCCGCAGGAGUAAAUGAUGACUGUUUUAAACCACUGCGUUUAGGGGUGUUGGUUUCACAGCAGCAGGUCCUGAAACGCUGCCGCCCCUCGCCCUCCCCCCAUGCCUGCUCCAGGCCUUCCACUUCCUCUCACCACUGUUACAGACAGAAUGUUCCUGUCCCCCCAAUUCAUACUUUGGGGUCCCAGCCCCCCCAGCGUGGCCGUGCUUGGAGACGGGGCCUGUAAGGAGGCGCAAAGAUUGAACGUGGUCCUAAGGGUGGGGCGUAAAUCAGUAGGGCCGGGAUCCUGACAUAGGAGGAAGGGGCUCCAGGGCUCCCCCCACCACGUGAGGACCCCGUGAGGAGGAGAGUCCACACCAGACACCCACCCGCCAGACUGUGAUCUGGGACUUCCGGCCUCCAGAGCUGUGGGAAGACACACUUCUGUCGUUCAAGCCGCGCAGGCUGUCGUGGCAGCCGCUGCACAUUCAUCAUGCACACACCCUCCCGCGGCUCACACCUGCUGGCUAGGGCCGCUCUCAGCAGCUGUGUUCCUAAGUCGGGGAGCAGGGGGGAGGCGGGGGGCAUCAGCCAGGCCCCCCCCCCGUUCACCCCUCUCAGAGCAACCGCUCCCUCCACCGCCCAGCAUGGGUCAGUCUGCAGCUUCGAUUUCUUUGAAUCAUGGUUUGAUGGAUGCUCCUCCUCCUCCCGGGUCUGCACGGGGCCUGGCACACAUAUAUGCGCCAUUUUUAGAAAAGACGCUGGCCUUGACCGGGAAGGUAAGGGCACCCUUUGACCCAGAUGUUCUGCUUCUGGGUGUAAACGCCAGUGGAACGUGGAGCAUGGCUGGGCGGUGUGUCCCCGGGGCCCGGGCUAGAACAGGCCUUGCGUGUCUCAUCAGAAUGGGUGCAUGUGGCCCGUCCACACAAGGGACACUGAGUGGCUAUGGGAAUGCUGGAGCCAGGCCACCCCGGGCAGCAAGGAGAGUCUCCCAGGCAGCCAGUCCCCAAAGAGGGCACGUGUCACAGUCCAUGUGAAUGAAGUAACACAGGCCAGCCCAGCGCAUCGGCUGAGAGGUGCCCUCCUGGGAGUCAGACUAUGAGGCCAAGCAGGGACAGGAGUGUCACAAAUGUCAGGGCACCGUCACCGCAGGGAGAGGGCUGUUUGCAGGAGGGCCGCACUGGAAAUGCCCAUUUACUGACUCGGGGGUCAACACCCGUGUCUGCACUGUAGUGGAGCUUUAAACUGUGUGCAGCGCACGCGCACACACGUGUGUAGAUAAGCUUUGUAUGUCCCCUGUGUGUACAUCAAGGUUUAAUGGAAAAAAUGAACAAUUGUUCAGCAAAGUGGUGAGACGGGGCCCCCUAAAACUGGGCCCUAUUUUUAAAAGGGGGACAGAGCCCCCAGAUGCUCCUCAAACAUCCAGGCCCCUUGUCACAGGUGGACAAACCUGGGCUCCCUGGCAGCACCCCGCUCCCCGACCUCACUGGUAGCAAGUGAGUGACCAGCAGGUAGCUCCCAGUUGCCUGAGUGUAAACUCCUUUUCCAGAAGGACCCUGGACUCCCUGCCCAGCAGUUCCAGGUGGGCAUCAGCACGCACUAGCAGGGCCUCAGUGCCCCGAUGCUGGCAGGUGAUGAAAACCAGGGUGGCCCGCAGACCCUGUGCUCUCUGCCUGUCGCGGGCCAGCGACAAGGCCAGCCCGGCCCCCUGUCAGCUGGAGACUCUCCACAGCCGUCCUCAGGACAGUUCUCAGGACGGGGGACGCGCGGUUCCUCCUCCAGCCUUCCCACCCCUCAGGGCCGUGGGAGCGAACUUGUCUUCGUCUGCUUACUGCUCUCUCUUCCUCCACGAGGACUAGGAGUGUGUUAGGCGCACCGCAAGGUCCCCAGUGCUAAGACUGGCAGAGGCUCCCAGCUAAACGGCUGAGGGGCAGUGACGCAGCAGUGCCAGGAGCCCCGUGUCCUGGGACGUCCUGUGUCUGAGCGGCCAGGAUGCCCCAGGGAACAGGAAAGGACCCUGAGCAGACCUUCCUGGUCCCUGCCCAGUCCCUCCCCUUACUGCCUGCCAAGCGACCCCAGAAUGUCACUCAACCUCCAGGAGCCUCAUCUGUGGAUGAAGGGUGACAGGAACAAUUAGCCCCAAGAAUGUGGAAGGAGUGAAGUCAGACACCCGGCCCGGAGGGGUUGACGGAUAAAGCUGCUUCUCUCACCAGCUGCCUGAAGGUGUAACCGAGGAUGUGAGCUCCCUGCCACUGGGCGGUGCUCGUGGGCAACUCUGCAGGGCUGGAGGGAAGGGUGACUUCUGUGGUGGGUGAUGCAGGGCCUGGCACCGGGCAGGCUCCAGGGAAAUGUUUGCUGCCUGCACCUACGACGGAGUUGGCCCAACCUCACAUGCUAAUAGCAGAGUCACAUUUAAACAAAGGACGGCGCGUUCAGAGGACACCCUUGCUGGUCCUACAGCAAAAGAGUAAUGCAUGACGCAGAGAGGGGGUGGGCAGAACUCCGGUGGUGACACCUGUGUGGGCGUGGGGCGGCAUCAGUGUGGACAGGGCGGCAGGCGGAGGGAGCAUCCCGGAGCCCUCUAGUUUCCUGCCCAGGAGGAUGAGAACCAAAAACAAGAUGACUUUCCAAACUGGUGUGAAUGGAUGCAAGGUCACAGAAGCAGCCUCAUAGCCCUUAACCCACCCCCAGGGCCCUGUCCCCAGAAGGUCGUAAAGAAUCAGGUUGAGGCUUUACAUGUGCACGUGCUCAGGCCAGAGAUGCCUUAGUUUGGGCUGCCCUAGCCACACCUGGAGAUACAGAUUCUGGCACAAGGAGUUUAUUUGGAGGUGAAGGCAAGGGUGUAGGGAAGUGAGAAGAGGAAGAGAAGGUGACUAAUUAUGGCUGUUAUCAAGCUGCCUGCUGCUGUGGAGCCCCCACUAGAGGACCCCCCCACUGCAGGAUCCCCCUACUGUGGGCAACAGGAAUCGGCCCACUAGGGAGCCUGGGAGCCAGUGCAGAGAGGUGGCUGGGGUCCUGGCUGUGUCUGCUCCUUGGGACACUAAGCCUCCACACUGCAGCCUGCCCCAAGGAGGCCAAGGGGUCUCCAGCAGCAGAAGUCCCCAAGCAGAGAGGUGCUGGCAUUUGGAAGUGAGAGGAGGCCAGGGCGAGGGGCUCUGGCAGCCAGCACUCCCUGGACUGAGAGAGAGCCUCCUGCUGUCCUUAUCAUAAGACCAUGGAUAACUGACCCACCGUGUGGACUUCAGAAGGUCAAGGGUACAUGUGAUCGUCUUGUCACCCUUGCCUUGCUUCUGUAGUGGAUCCUGCAGACUGAGUCGUUCAACCUGUGUGCCACCCCCUCCUUUUGUCUCUGGAAAACCUGAAAUCUAUAUUUCCCAGACACCCGUGCAACUAGGGUUCUGCAGGUGGCCUCAGCUCCUCUGGACAGAAGCCUGCCUGCGAUCUAAAAGGCAGAAGUGAGCAACACAGGGUGGUGGAGGGAUGGGGCUCCUGGAUGGCAGGGAACAGAGGGGUCUGGUUCUCGCACAGCAGCAGCCCCAGUGUCUGGGCCUGAGCAUCACAGACAUUGGGGUUUCCAUAGCAACAGUCCUAGGUGGAGUCAGGGGAUUGUCUAGGCUGUGUUGUACCUGGCUAUGGGGCCUCCACUCUUGGUUCCCUGGUAGUCCUGGAAUCUCAGUCUUAACACCCAGGAAUAAGGCCCCUCUGCUCAAACCACAAGAAGUGGAUUCUGUCAUCUGUAACGAAUCACUGUGACCGAUACAAAUUCAGAUUCUGAAGUCACCUCCAUUGUUCUUCCUGUGCGAAGAAAUACAGGAAACUUAAGAAAAACAAGUAAAAAUCAUCUGUUAUCCCACCAUCUGGAGUGUCUUGCAGGCCCUGUGAUGGUGAAAUGAGUUUUGAUGGCCAAUUUUGGAGGAUGCCUCGCAAUUGAAAACUGGUUCUAACUUCAAGAAUUCAGCUUAUGGCAUGAAGUGGUGAGACUGGGCAGCCUUGUCAUGUUCCAGAUUUUAGUGGACUUCUUCCCUUAAUAAAUGAAGAAUGGGAGACUCCAGGUGGCCUCAUGGUUGAGGUUUCAAGACGAGUGAAGAAAGAUAAAAGCAAAGUAAAAGCAGCUCAGGUUGAAUUACUCACUUUGACUUGAAUAUACUUCUGUGAGGAGUUACAUCAGCAUUAUGAUUGAAUAAGAUGUGUUUCAUCAUACCUCCCUUUAAUAACUUGGCUUCAUUCACAGACCCAAGUGUCUUUGUGGGAGCUGUGGGAUCCAGCAAAAUAUGUCAAGGGGAAUAGGAGGAGUCUCACCCACCUGUGCACAGGGUAUUAGGCAUAGAGACCUCAAUCCCAGCUCUGGACAUU